AUUUUCUCAUUGGAUUCACUGUCAUCAGCUUAUGCUACAGCUCUGGCUGAGCAACUUCAGCUGGAGGAAUGUGAUUCCAGUGACGCUGAGAGUGAAGACAGUCAGAUGUCUCAAGAUUCUCUUGGUAUGGAGAGCAGCGGGAAACAUGUGACUGCCAGGCCAGUGCUGAGGUUUGAAAAAGUUCCAAGCCACUUAACCACCCCUACAGUACCAGCUUCAUGCAGCUCUCAGGCAAUCGGCAAUAAAGAGGAGAUUAGAAUAUCCAAAGAUGUACCUGCAGAGGUUUUCUGGAGCCUUAAUGGUAGUCAGAAGUCGAAAACUGAGAACGGCCCAAGCAUGGCUAAAGUGCCUUCACACUUUUCUUGUCUAGCAUCUGAAUCUAAACCCUGUAGCCGUGCAAGUAUCAGAGAGACAGAGAAUCCACUUGCUCUUACUGAUGCUUGGUCAUCUACUGAUGCAGCAGACAGUCCCAGAAUCAUCAUGGCUUCGGGACACUUGCUCAAACAGGAUCCACACACACUAAUAGAGAGCAGGAGAUGCCAAAGCUCUACUAGUCUGGAUCUGUCAGACAACAUGAAUGUCUCAGAAAGCCAGAGCUCACAUCGUUCUGACUCCACUCAGGAUGAAAAUACAACACUUGAAGAACAAAACAGCACAUCCUUUGAAAAUACCCUGUUGUUAGAGAGUGAUCUCAGUUUUAUCCCAGGGCAGGAGAUGGAUUUUAAGGAACAGACUACCAGUGCAGAACCAUGUACAACUCAGACAGUCUGUGAUUCCACAGAUACCAGUUCAGAUGGGGUAGCACAUCCAAAUAAACCAACCACUGAAAAUGAACCACUGAAUCCCACUGUGACUAAAGCAUUGCUGAUCAACUCUUGUUCCAAAGAUGGUGAGAUCUCAACAAGUACUACUUGCUUCCAAGUUAACUCUAGUAGGGAAGAUUCACAUGUUAGAGAGGACCCAUCAUCAUAUCCAAUACACCCUGCAGAUUGUUCUCUGAAGUCAAACUUAAACCUGACAAUGGGCUAUCAGGUUUCAACAUGCGACAACGCAGGAGAUCCAGAGGUUAAGAACUCUAAAGCAGUGCAGAUUAUAAAUGAAUCGCACAGUACUCCUAGCACUGACAAUGGCAC
rnacentral:lncRNA from 1 species